UGUCUGGCGACCUUAGCGACACGGUACCACCUGAUCCCAUUCCGAACUCAGAAGUGAAACGUGUUAGCGGCGAUGGUAGUGUGGGGUUUCCCCAUGUGAGAGUAGCACAUCGCCAGACU
rnacentral:rRNA from 1 species